rnacentral:rRNA from 1 species
CCUGAUGCAGCCUGCCGCGUGUGUGAAGAAGGCCUUCGGGUUGUAAAGCACUUUCUUCGAGGAAGAAGGCAUCAUACUUAAUACCUGUGGUGAUUGACGUUCCUCGUAAAAAAAGCACCGGCUAACUCCGUGCCAGCAGCCGCGGUAAUACGGAUGGUGAGAGCGUUUAUGGAAAUUACGGGGGGUU